rnacentral:rRNA from 1 species
AGUGUAGGUGGCCGCAUAAGUCGGAUGUGAAAGCCCUGGGCUUAACCUGGGAAUGGCAUCCGAUACUGUGUGGCUAGAGUCUGAUAGAGGGAAGUGGAAUUCCAGGUGUAGCGGUGAAAUGCGUAGAUAUCUGGAGGAACAUCAGUGGCGAAGGCGGCUUCCUGGAUCAAGACUGACACUGAGGCUCGAAAGCGUGGGGAGCAAACAGGAUUAGAUACCCUGGUAGUCCACGCCCUAAACUAUGUCAACUAGACGUUGGUCCCUUUAAUGGGAUUAGUGUCGAAGCUAACGCGUUAAGUUGACCGCCUGGGGAGUACGGCCGCAAGGUUGAA